AAAGUAAUAAUAUGAAUAAACUGCUAAUUUAUUUUUGUUGCAAUAGUUGUAACUUACUUUG
rnacentral:tRNA from 1 species